AUUAUUGAGUCUGUGUUCGACCGGUCAAGUGCACAACAUCGAUUCGUAAAUCGUGGUCUUAUCGAUCUAUCGCGAUCUAUGCUCGUGCCAGGAAAGGGAGAAGAGUGCCGUAGCAAGAAGAAGAUGAAGCUCGUGUCGUGUCCGCAUCCGAUGUUGAUCAAACGUGUAGAACAGUUUAGAAAUAAUUUUGUUGCUCGAAUGUGAGAUAAAGUUUACUGCAGCUGCAAGAAAUAAUAAGCAUCAGAAAUAUGACAAAGCCUGCUAGACAUGCUAUGCCAGGAAAUUGGUGGCAGAAACCGAACGAAGUCCUGCAUAAUUAACUUCACGGCAGAUUGAGAGCAUAAUGCAAAAAUUAUCCUUUCAAUUAUUUUGAAAACCUGCUGCCGUUGGCGCCGAAGUUGACGACG